rnacentral:rRNA from 1 species
UACGAGAGGCCCAAACGUUAUUCGGAAUUACUGGGCUUAAAGAGUUCGUAGGCGGCGCAGAAAGUAGGGUGUGAAAGCCCUCGGCUCAACCGAGGAAUUGCGCUCUAAACUACUGUGCUUGAGGAAUCUAGAGGUGAGCGGAAACUGAUGGUGGAGCGGUGAAAUGCGCAGAUAUCAGGAGGAACACCGAUGGCGAAGGCAGCUCGCUGGGACGGUACUGACGCUGGAGAACGCGAAAGCGUGGGGAGCAAACAG